ACACAUGCAGUCGAGCGGAUGACAGGAGCUUGCUCCUGAAUUCAGCGGCGGACGGGUGAGUAAUGCCUAGGAAUCUGCCUGGUAGUGGGGGACAACGUUUCGAAAGGAACGCUAAUACCGCAUACGUCCUACGGGAGAAAGCAGGGGACCUUCGGGCCUUGCGCUAUCAGAUGAGCCUAGGUCGGAUUAGCUAGUUGGUGAGGUAAUGGCUCACCAAGGCGACGAUCCGUAACUGGUCUGAGAGGAUGAUCAGUCACACUGGAACUGAGACACGGUCCAGACUCCUACGGGAGGCAGCAGUGGGGAAUAUUGGACAAUGGGCGAAAGCCUGAUCCAGCCAUGCCGCGUGUGUGAAGAAGGUCUUCGGAUUGUAAAGCACUUUAAGUUGGGAGGAAGGGCAUUAACCUAAUACGUUAGUGUUUUGACGUUACCGACAGAAUAAGCACCGGCUAACUCUGUGCCAGCAGCCGCGGUAAUACAGAGGGUGCAAGCGUUAAUCGGAAUUACUGGGCGUAAAGCGCGCGUAGGUGGUUUGUUAAGUUGGAUGUGAAAUCCCCGGGCUCAACCUGGGAACUGCAUUCAAAACAGACAAGCUAGAGUAUGGUAGAGGGUGGUGGAAUUUCCUGUGUAGCGGUGAAAUGCGUAGAUAUAGGAAGGAA
rnacentral:rRNA from 1 species